CUUCUUGAUUAGUGAUGGGAAGUAGGACCUGUUCACUGAUUUUAUUGAAGAACCGCGGUAUAUUGACCGUGCAAAGGUAGCAUAAUCAUUAGUUUCUUAAUUGGAAACUGGAAUGAAUGGUUUGACGAAAUAAUAUGUGUCUUAGUUUUAAAGAGAAUUGAAGUUUACUUUUGAGUAAAAAGGCUUAAAUUUUGUUGUGGGACGAUAAGACCCUAUAGAUCUUUAUAAUUUUAUUUUUAUUGUAAAUUUAAUUUUUUUGAAUUGAUAUAAAAUUAUUUCGUUGGGGUGACGAAAGGAUUUCAAUCGAACUCCUUUUUAAUUAAACAUUAUUAAUUGGUUUUAGGGGAUCCUAAAAGUUGGAUUGUAAGAUUAAGAUACCUUAGGGAUAACAGCGUUAUUUUAUUUGAGAGUUCAUAUCGACAAUAAAGAUUGCGACCUCGAUGUUGGAUUAAGUUUAUUUUGUGGGGGAGUAUUUACAUGGAGUAGGUCUGUUC
rnacentral:rRNA from 1 species